GCGGUGGACUCCCACGAGGAGGUCCCAGGCUGCUUCGGGGCUGCAGGUGACGGUAAAAGCGGGAGCAGAAUUAGGGGAAGGUCGUGAAGCACGGCGACAAAAGGUGGAAAGAGGGAGGGCGAAGCCAAACCCUACAGCACCCAGCAUUCCCAGGCGGCCUCCCAUCCGAGUACUAACCAGGACCGACCCUGCUUAACUUCCGAGAGCCCAGAGUUGAUCUCUGCACCACUCUAUCACUGCUGGGGGUGAGGAAAUGGUGGAACCGGUGAUUCAGGACUGUUUUUUCUCUCUUCUCAGUGCCUCUUUCAGUGAUAUGAAGUUAAAACCAGGAUGGAAGAUCAGUGGAGCCUUCUUUCUGCCAUCUUGCUUUACCCUCACACCCAAGAAUCAGAAUGCAGAACUUUUAAUCAGAAAAGCAUUCAGAACUCAGGAAGGACAUGGAAGACAUCCUGGUUCUCCACGUUUAACAUUGGACUGUUUCUUCAACUUAGGUGCAUAGCACUGACACUAAUCAGGGAUUAUCACCGAUAAUUUGACUUGGACUAUGGAGUUCAUUCAAAUACUUUAUCUAGACAAUUUAAGUACUGGCUUAUUUGUCAUGAAAAUCUGACAAAGUAAUUUCUUGGUAUUCAGUUGAUUUUUACUCUGUUUGGGUUAGCAGUUUAUAAACCAGUCAGUCUCUUCAUUAAAGUUCUGGGAAUUCUUACUCGUUCAAAUGAUAUGAUUCUAAAGUUCUCAAAAAUCUGUAUUCUAGAAUUCUUCUCAGGACCUUUUCCCUCCUUUCAUGAAACUCCUUAAAGAUACAGUAUUCUAUAAUUUUGCAAGCUUGUACAGUUUUCAGAAACUGCCUCAGAAUUAAGCAAUUUACAGUGGAAAUGUUUUUAAAUUGUCAUAGACACAAUUGACAAGAAAAUUUUAUUAUUUACAGGCGUGAGCCACCACACCCAGCCUCUGAAGUUAAUUUAAUAAAAUUUUAUGAAUAAAUUUAUCAAAUGUGUCAUCUUUUAAUCCCAGAUCUUUGUGAACCUAUGCUUUGCAUUUCCCCCAGCUUUCUAUAUUUACCUAGUUUUAUCUAUUUUUUACUUGUACAAUUUGAAACCUUUAAGUAACUUCAAACAAAAAAAAAUUAAAACAUAUGUUUACG
rnacentral:lncRNA from 10 species